rnacentral:rRNA from 1 species
GUCGAGUCGGCCUGCGCGGAAGAUGUAACGGGGCUAAGUAGUAAACCGAAGCUGCGGCAAUAUACUUUUGUAUAUUGGGUAGGGGAGCGUUCUGUAAGCGGUUGAAGGUGUGUGGUAACGCAUGCUGGACGUAUCAGAAGUGCGAAUGCUGACAUGAGUAACGAUAAAGGGGGUGAAAAACCUCCUCGCCGGAAGACCAAGGGUUCCUGUCCAACGUUAAUCGGGGCAGGGUAAGUCGACCCCUAAGGCGAGGCCGAAAGGCGUAGUCGAUGGGAAACGGGUUAAUAUUCCCGUACUUCUUACAAUUGCGAUGGGGGGACGGAGAAGGCUAGGUGGGCCUGGCGACGGUUGUCCAGGUUCAAGUGCGUAGGCUUAAGAGUUAGGUAAAUCCGGCUCUUUUUAAGGCUGAGACACGACGUCGAGCACCUACGGGUGUGAAGUCAUUGAUGCCAUGCUUCCAGGAAAAGCCUCUAAGCUUCAGAUUGUAAGGAAUCGUACCCCAAACCGACACAGGUGGUCGGGUAGAGAAUACCAAGGCGCUUGAGAGAACUCGGGUGAAGGAACUAGGCAAAAUGGUACCGUAACUUCGGGAGAAGGUACGCUCUCGACGGUGAAGUCCCUCGCGGAUGGAGCUAUUGAGAGUCGCAGAUACCAGGUGGCUGCAACUGUUUAUUAAAAACACAGCACUGUGCAAAAUCGUAAGAUGACGUAUACGGUGUGACGCCUGCCCGGUGCCGGAAGGUUAAUUGAUGGGGUUAGACUUCGGUCGAAGCUCUUGAUCGAAGCCCCGGUAAACGGCGGCCGUAACUAUAACGGUCCUAAGGUAGCGAAAUUCCUUGUCGGGUAAGUUCCGACCUGCACGAAUGGCGUAAUGAUGGCCACGCUGUCUCCACCCGAGACUCAGUGAAAUUGAAAUCGCUGUGAAGAUGCAGUGUACCCGCGGCUAGACGGAAAGACCCCGUGAACCUUUACUACAGCUUGGCACUGAACAUUGACCCUACAUGUGUAGGAUAGGUGGGAGGCUUUGAAGCAAGUACGCCAGUAUUUGUGGAGC